UACGGAGGGUGCAAGCGUUAUCCGGAUUCACUGGGUUUAAAGGGCGCGUAGGAGGGCAGGUAAGUCAGUGGUGAAAUCUUCGAGCUUAACUCGGAAACUGCCGUUGAUACUAUCUGUCUUGAAUACCGUGGAGAUGAGCGGAAUAUGUCAUGUAGCGGUGAAAUGCUUAGAUAUGACAUAGAACACCAAUUGCGAAGGCAGCUUACUAUGGUUUUAUUGACACUGAGGCACGAAAGCGUGGGGAUCAAACAGG
rnacentral:rRNA from 1 species